rnacentral:lncRNA from 1 species
GCUAGCACACAGUCUUUUGCUCCGCAUAUUUCUGUCAAUUUUUCACAACUUCAUGAUACAGUCUAAUACUGAGCAUUGAUACAAAAACAUUAUAAGACCUCACAAAGAUUUUGUAUAGAUAUGAAUAUGGUAUAAGGAAAAAAAUAAAAUUAGAAUUUAAACCAUUCAGGUAUCCUCAUUUCCAGUUUGAAGGCAAGGAGAAUAGCACUAAAUGUUAGGUUGACGUAUAUUUUUUUGAAUUUAAAACAUUACACUGGUACAUUUUAUAAGUUAAACCUGUAUCACCUGUUGCAAGAAGGUAGGUGUCAAAAAACUUAUAACUUGUACAAAAACCCUGUACAAAUUAUAAUUUGUACAAACUUACAUCUUGUACACAACAUAUAUAU